GUGCUCUCUACGGCAGCACAUAUACUAACUUGGAAUGAUACAGAGAAGAUUAGCAUGGAUGGCCCUGUGCAAAGAUGACACACAAAUUCAUGAGGCGUUCCAUAUUUAU
ensembl:snRNA U6 U6 spliceosomal RNA